rnacentral:rRNA from 1 species
UCGAGAAUUUUUCUCAAUGGGGGAAACCCUGAAGGAGCGACGCCGCGUGGGGGAUGAAGGACUUCGGUUCGUAAACCCCUGUCACUUGGGAACAAAAGUACUAACCUAACACGUUAGUGCCUGAUAGUACCAGGAGAGGAAGGCACGGCUAACUCUGUGCCAGCAGCCGCGGUAAUACAGAGGUGCCAAGCGUUGUUCGGAUUUAUUGGGCGUAAAGGGUGCGUAGGCGGCCAUGCAAGUCGGAUGUGAAAUACCGGAGCCUAACUCCGGAACGGCAUUCGAAACUGCAUGGCUCGAGAACUGGAGAGGUGACUGGAAUUCUUGGUGUAGCAGUGAAAUGCGUAGAUAUCAAGAGGAACACCAGAGGCGAAAGCGAGUCACUGGACAGAUUCUGACGCUGAGGCACGAAAGCUAGGGGAGCAAACGGGAUUAGAUACCCCCGUAGUCC